AAGUCGUAACAAGGUUUCCGUAGGUGAACCUGCGGAAGGAUCAUUACAUUCAGUAGCUUGCUACUGUUAGGGAGGCCGGUUAGUCUGUAUAGUAUCACUACUGAUGAGCAGCACGGCCUUCUGUCUGUACCCUUGUCUUUUGCGCACUCAUGUUUCCUCGGCUGGGUUUGCGCCCGCCGGCUGGACAACUCUAUAACCUUUUUAAUUUUCAAUCAGCGUCUGAAAAACCUAAUAAUUACAACUUUCAACAACGGAUCUCUUGGUUCUG
rnacentral:misc_RNA from 1 species